AGGGACAUAGUUCAAGGGUAGAAUAGUGGUCUCCAAAACCAUUGAUGGGCGUUCGAAUCGCUCUGUCCCUGCAA
rnacentral:tRNA from 2 species